rnacentral:lncRNA from 1 species
AUGUCAUUGGCUCCCUUUUCACUAAGAGUAAAAGCCAGUGUCCUUAGAGUGACCCCUCGGCCCUCCUCGGCUCAUCAGACUCCCCAGCGCCCUAUAAGCAUGUUUCUUGCUCCUCUCCCUCCUGUCUUGCUUGGCCACAGUGGCUUUUCCUGUACCUCCAACGGAAACAAGCCCUCCACCCCUGCUCUUGCCUUUAGGAUCUUGGAGUGGACGUCUGUAUCAAGGAUUCCUCCCUACCUUCAUGUCGUGCAUGGCAAUCCGGCGCAGGUUGGAAAACAAUCUCCAGACAUGGAGCAUUUCAGAAGGGAGUGACUUUAUUAUUAAGAACAAAGAGCUGAGAUAAUGAGGGCACUGUGAGCACAGUGGGCUGACCACCUGGCAGACCAGGGAGAGCUGACUUAGAAUCGUGGGCCUGUCAAGAGAGAGCCGACCCUUUCGUGGGUUAGUAGUCAGUUUCUGUAGCCUCAAGACAAAAUUCUUGCUGAAAGGGUGGCAUUAGGUGAUUGGUUAGGGUGCUAUAGGGUGAGUACUUGAGUGGGCAUUUUACCAGGAACUGGCUGGUAAGGAUGUGAGGACUCAUGGCAAUGGUUGCUAUGGGGCUCAGUCAGUUCUGGGAGAUGACCUUGGUGGGGACUCUAUGGCCUUAGUACAAGGCCUCACACCUGUGACCUUGGUAUGGAAUUCUAUACUUCAGAUCAGGAUUCAAGUGUCAGUUUCUUAGUGAGGCCUUCCUGGGACCCUUUAUAAAAAUCUCAGUCCUCCUCCUUUUCAUUAACAGUCUCUCUCCCACUUAUUUUCAAAAUAGAUAUUUUUAAUUGAGGUAAAAUUCAUGUAACAAAAUUAACCAUAUUUGGCACAUUUCACAAUAUUGUGUAGCCAUCACCUGUUAUCUAGUACUAAAACAUAUUCAUCACCCUGAAGUAAAACCCCAGAUCUAUUUAGCAGUUACUCCCUAUUCUUCCUGCCUGGAAUCCUGGCAGCCACCGUUUGCUUUCGGUCUCGAUGAAUUUCCCUGUACUGGAUAUUUCAUAUAAAUGAAUCAUACAGCAUAUCACCUUUUGUGUCUUGAGGCUUAUCCUUAUUUUAGCCUGUCUCAGCGCUUCAGCCCUCUUCUGAAAGAAUGAUCCUCCACUGUGUGCAUGUCACACAGUGUGUCCACUCAUCAGUGGAUGUGUGGUUUGUUUCUGCCUGGGGUUACGGUGAAUAGUACUGUAGUGAACAUUGCUACACAAGGACCUGUUUGAGUCCCUGUUCUCAAUUCUUUUGGGAGUUUGGUAUCAAUCUAUAACUGGAAUUGCUGGGUUAUAUGGCAGUUUUAUGUUUUAAUUUUUGGGAAAUGCCAAGCUGCUUCCCAGUGACUAUACCAUUUUACAUUCCUGCCAGCACUAAACAAGGGUUCCCAGUUCUCCACAUCUUUGCCAACACUUGUUCAGUUCAGCUCAGUUCAGUCACUCAGUCGUGUCCAACUCUUGGCGACCCCAUGAACUGCAGCACACCAGGCCUCCUAUCCAUCACCAACUCCGGAGUUCACCCAGACUCACGUCCAUAGAGUCAGUGAUGCCAUCCAGCCAUCUCAUCCUCUGUUGUCCUCUUCUCCUCCUGCCCCCAAUCCCUCCCAGCAUCAGAGUCUUUUCCAACGAGUCAACUCUUCGCAUGAGGUGGCCAAAGUACUGGAGUUUCAGCUUUAGCAUCAUUCCUUUCAAAGAAAUCCCAGGGCUGAUCUCCUUCAGAAUGGACUGGUUGGAUCUCCUUGCAGUCCAAGGGACUCUCAAGGAUCUUCUCUGACACCACAGUUCAAAAGCAUCAAUUCUUCAGCGCUCAGUCUUCUUCACAGUCCAACUCUCACAUCCAUACAUGACCACUGGAAAACCAUAGCCUUGACUAGACAGACCGUUGUUGGUAAAGUAAUGUCUCUGCUUUUCAAUAUGCUAUCUAGGUUGGUCAUAACUUUCCUUCCAAGGAUUAAGCGUCUUUUAAUUUCAUGGCUGCAGUCACCAUCUGCAGUAUUUUGGAGCCCCAAAAUAAAGUCUGACACUGUUUCCACUGUUUCCCAUCUAUUUCCCAUGAAGUGAUGGGACUAGAUGCCAUGAUCUUCGUUUUCUGAAUGUUGAGCUUUAAGCCAACUUUUCACUCUCCUCUUUCACUUUCAUCAAGAGGCUUUUAGUUCCUCUUCACUUUCUGCCAUAAGGGUGGUGUCAUCUGCAUAUCUGAGGUUAUUGAUAUUUCUCCUGGCAGUCUUGAUUCCAGCUUGUGCUUCUUCCAGUCCAGCGUUUCUCAUGAUGUACUCUGCAUAUAAGUUAAAUAAGCAGGGUGACAAUAUACAGCCUUGACGAACUCCUUUUCCUAUUUGGAACCAGUCUGUUGUUCCAUGUCCAGUUCUAACUGUUGCUUCCUGACCUGCAUACAAAUUUCUCAAGAGGCAGGUCAGGUGGUCUGGUAUUCCAUCUCUUUCCAAAUUUUCCACAGUUUAUUGUGAUCCAC